UACGUAGGGUGCAAGCGUUAAUCGGAAUUACUGGGCGUAAAGCGUGCGCAGGCGGUUUUGUAAGACAGAUGUGAAAUGCCCGGGCUUAACCUGGGAACUGCAUUUGUGACUGCAAGGCUAGAGUGUGUCAGAGGGGUAGAAUUCCACGUGUAGCAGUGAAAUGCGUAGAUAUGUGGAGGAACACCGAUGGCGAAGGCAGCCCCCUGGGAUAACACUGACGCUCAUGCACGAAAGCGUGGGGAGCAAACAGG
rnacentral:rRNA from 1 species